CAGGCAGAGGAAAGCACAUGUGAGACACAAGGAGAAUGUGGCCAUCGACAAGCCGAGGAGAGAGACCACAAGAGAAUCCAAACCUCGCAACACCUUGAUCCUGGACUUCUGGCCUCCAGAAUGCCGAGGAAAUAAAUUUCUGUUGUUUAAGACACUCAGUCUGUGGUCCUCUGUUACGGCAGCCCUCGAAACUGACACGGAUACCCAAGACGCCCUUCGGUUCCACCAUCCCAGAAUCCUCUCUCCUCUCAAGGAAGGUAAAAAUACAAAAUAUCCUAAGCAACAAUGCUCAGUUGCUCAGUACUGAGAUCAACCUUUAAGUGCACAGAUUUAAAACUGUUUGUUUCUCAAUAAGCAACCUAUGAAACCGUCCCUGAGAUUUUACUUCACCGCAUUUCUGGAGUGACACUUAGCCGAGUGCCAGGCUCUGCUUAGACCCCACGCAAGGGACGGGAGGAACGGAAGCAGCCCAUGUGGAGGCAGCUACGGACCUGCUGGUCCCACCGGAGCGCCUCGACCUCCAGGGAGGCGCCUAGGCCCUGCAAACCUUAUGAACCAUAUCUCGUUGAGUGCCUCAGGAAUCUGAAUGUGAACAAAUGACGCCCCAGCUGUUACACCGAGUAUCAGCUCGCAGAUUCCCGAAGGGUCGGACUCGCUGGGUUGGACAGGCUGACAAACUUUAAACAAAGGCCUUCCCAAAUGUCAUGACUACUCAUCCCAGGAGAGCAAUAAUGAGAGAAAACAUCAGUAGCAGUGCUGUAACUAUUAACGGUGUUUGCAUGCCUUUGUGAUUGCACAUCACAAUAGCCAAGACUCGGGAAUUUGGGGAGGCAAGGUGCUAGCGAAAGGAUUGUCUGUUUGGGGUAGCUCACUAUGGUAAUAAGACCGGCUCUAUUAGCUGGUCAUUUAAAAACUUCUACGGAACUUGAUUGCCUUCCAGUGAAAUACUUCAUUUAAUUUCCCCAUAAUCCACUCCCUCUCCUGCCCAUCACACCUUUAAUAACCCUACGUCAUAUGCUCAUUAAUCUUUCUACUUUUACAUCAUAGAGUUUUACAUUUUAAUAUUAGAGCUGGUCAUCUUGUUAGUUUGAUUUAUUGUUUUCCUCUUUCAAAAAGUCCACCCUCUUUUUCUAUGUACUAUAAAUAACAAGCGUGGCUCCGGCUUGAAUAACGGAGCUGUAAUUCAGGCUGGGGGCUUAGCUGCCAUUCCUAAAGCCUCGAGCCGCACCCCUGGGGAUCGCGGUGUCAGUAGAGGCUGGUGAUUGAAAUACAGCCCUGCAGUCAAUCAGGAACCGUGUGCUAUUCAAAGUAUUUCUACAAAUGACAAGUUAUUAAUGCUUUGAAAUGGAAGUCAGAACUAUAGUAGAUCAGAUGUUAGUUUAAUGAGGAUAGCUAUUUUUUUCCUACUUAAUGAGGUAGGAGUCUUUUUUUCUAUUUCUUAAAGAAAUAAAUCAUGGGCAAUAAAUAAAAGAAACCUCUUAGGUAGUCAAGCUUUAUUGUUAUUGUUGUUGUUACUGUUAUUUAUAAUAUUGCACAGGGUUCUUUGCAAAACACAUUCAUUUUUAGAGUACUAAAAAAAGUAAAAAGAAUAAAACAAAAACUAGAGAGUAACCAGGGAGGGAGGGAAAGAGGAUGAACGAUUCUUUGAAUGCUGUCCUAGAGUUCCAGUCAUGUCAUAAUCAAAUUUCAUGAUUUUAGAUACCGUUGAAGAGCUAUGGAUAUGAGCACUUGGCAAAUGACAAAAUAAAAUUAGACAACUAAAUUAUAAGCCUUAAGAUGUCAAGUCAAAUAGAGCCAUAUAUCUCGGUCAUUAAUCUCAGGAAAAUAGGCCAGAGCUGCAGAAU
rnacentral:lncRNA from 1 species